rnacentral:rRNA from 1 species
UACGAUGUCGUCGGUGAGGAAACCCGCUGAACUUAAGCAUAUCAAUAAGCGG